rnacentral:lncRNA from 1 species
GACCUCCUGGGAGCUGUUUCCCAGCAGUCAGGGAGAGCUGGCCUCAGAGGGAGAAGGAUGGGGCCUCGUGACACCGUUAAGUCUGUUUCUGUAGAUGUGUGGUUGGGGUCAAUAUAUCCCUGUAGCCUCCCUUAAGCCAGUUUCAGUUGGGUUUGUUUCUUACCACCUGGAAUCCAAGCUGAAAAUAAAUUUUCACUCCUGUUACCAGGAGUGGGGUGCUGUGAGAGAUGCUAACGUGUAGACUUGGCUGGAGGUGAGGGCAGGACUGAAGCCCCCCAUGCCUCAGUAAGAAGCUGCAUCAGCCUGGCCAACAUGGUGAAGCCCUGUCUCUAAUAAAAAUACAAAAAGAUUAGCUGGGCAUGGUGGUGCAUGCCUGUAAUCCCAGCUACUCAGGAGGCUGAGGUGGGAGGAUCACUUGAACCCGGGAGGUGGUGGCUGGAGCCAAGAUGGUGCCACUGCACUCCAGCCUGGGCGACAGAGCAAGACUCCGACUGAUUAAAAAAAAAAGCCGCAGCCUCUGUUACGUGGUACAAGCUGUGGCCAAACUGUUGGUCACUGUAUCUUCACGUGGAGCUGCUAUGAGAACUUGCACCUGUGUAAAGCCACGGGACCGUUGUCACGAACAAAAAAGGAGCACGGCUGACCUGUGCGCCUUUCCCAGCAAUGAGUCAGGGAGCAGGUUUCCCUUCUCCACUCCCUUCCCCCAUCUGCCCACUUGAUCCGGGAUCCUUGAGGCCCUGGGGAGCAACAGAGCCCUAAGAGCUUCAAAGGGGCCUGGGUCCAGGAAUAACUUGGUGAAGAGCUGCCUGCCACUCUGAACAUCCACAUGUGACAAUAAACAUCUCCUGUGUUAGGA